GGAUGACAGGGAGAGUCAGUCAGGGGCCUUGGCUUCCAGCCUGGGGACAGAGAGGCCCCUACCUCGGCCAGCUCCUCGGGCCACAGGCCUCUCUGACAAAGGCGACUACAAGAGCCAGCCCGAGCAGAUGUUCCCAGGGGCAGACGAAAAGUCACACGUAUUUUUUAAGCCAUAGUUAAAUGCAGGUAUUUAACUGAAGUAGAACCGAAUAAAAUGGACCCCUCAGUUCCAGUGCUCCACAACCACGCACGGCUGGGGGCUCCUGCGGACGACACAGAGCACGUCCAUCCCCGGAGCAGGGCUGCGCUGGGGCCAUCUACUCCCAGCUGUCCCGUCUAGCCUAAUUCAAACCUCAGCGACUGAGGGGGGGCGAGGGAUCUUCUCCCAGCAGCCCCUCCUCCUACGCCCUCCUGGCCACGUCUCUCUCACCAGCUUGAGUCCUCAGAGCUCCCUGAGAACCCACCCUCCGUCAGAGCACGUACCAGCCAGGAACUCCCCGGUAGCCCGCCGUCCUGCAGACCCCCAGCACCGGGCCAGCUGGCGGGGCGCCGCUGACGCCCAGAUGCAGGCCAGAGGGAAGGGGCUGUCUGGGGUCCCGGGGAGUUGGACACACAGAGGAUGGCUGGUUCUCCUGCCUGGUCUGGGACCUCAGCUAUCACACUUUGUGGACACAGCUGGUGGCUUCCUCUGGGCAGCCCGCAGGGGAGGGAGGCCACCCCUACUGCGCUCGCUCAGGAUGCCCGUCAUUCGGCUGCCCGGCAGGCCCCUCCAGGCCUCGGUGGUGCUGCAGGAGCAGCAGGAGCAGCAUGGGGGCAGGGAGAAGAGAAGGGCCCCAGCGAGGCAGAGGGAAACAGCACAACUGCCCCCCUCCGUGCCCUUUCUGAUUGGCCACAUCCUCUGAGUGGGCUGGGUGUGGCAUCCCUAUUAUUCUGUGCAGAGCUGGAAUGUGGAAACCAGAUCCUGGCCCCGUGGUGUGGGGGGGUGGGGGUGGGGGUGUACAUUCCACAGAAGGGAAGGGGGCUGGACAGCAGACCUGUCAGGCAGGUCUGCCGUGGGGAGGGGGCCUGCUCGCCCCAGCCCCAGGCUCCAGAACCCCUGCUGCCUCCACUCCUCCCCCUGCCUUAAACUAGAGAAUUCACUUCAAAGCUAAAAUCUGACAUUUUAGUCAGAGCACUAGCUCUGACAAGCCGGUACAGGCCAAACAAUGUCCCUCGAGCACAGAUGGCAUGGGAAGGCCACUCGACGUCACACAUGCCCAGAUGAGAAAAGACAAAAGAACAGGAGGGGAACCUUCCUGUUAAAUGGAAACUAACACACAGGACUUGCAAGAAAAUACGGCCCGAGGGCUGCCAACCUGAGCCGCCUGACCCUCCUGGCCUGCUCGCCCUCCCUGGCCCGCACCUCCGGCCCUCCCAGUCCAGCUGCAGGGAGCCGCUGGGACCUGCAAUGCCGCCUCUUCCUGCCCCAGCGUCUGGGGGCCUCCCCAGGAGUGGAGGGGGCAAUCUGAGAGGAUGGUUCCUGAGGCCCUGUCACAGCCAGUACGGUCAGAGCUCCAACAUGUGCACGGGCACACGGAGGCCAGCAAAAGAGGAUGCUCCUGGCACCAGUAUCGGGAAGAGAGAAGUCUGGAAACAUCCUGAGGGUCCAUCGGUAGGGCCGGUUAGGGCAAGUACCCAGGAGACUGCCGUUCAACUUCACAAGAGCCUGCCAAACCCUUCCAGAGCGGAGCACCGUCUGCACGCCCAUCGGUAACGCACAAGAGUUCCGGCUGCUCCACAUCCUCCCGCUACAGGGUAUUCUUUGUUUUUUAAUUUAGACGUUCUAAGAGGUGUGUCACCGGGGGUACCUCAUCCAGGCUUUAGUUCUCAUUUCCCUAAUGGUAGCAGUGACGGUGAACAUCUCUUCACGUGCUUAUGUGCCAUCCGAGUUGGCUUAUUUGCCAACUGCUGAGUUUUUUAUAUACUUAGGAGAAGAAGUCCUUUGUUGGAUAUGUGAUUUGCAAAUUUUUUCCCCAGUCUGUAGCUUGUCAUUUCAUUUGCUUAAUAGUGCCUUUUGCAUAGCAAAAGUUUUUAGUUUUGACAAAAUCCAUUGUACCAUUUUCUUCCUUUCAGGGUUCAUGCUUUUGGUGUCACGUCUAAGAACUCUGUUCAGGUCACAGAGAUCUUCUCCUACGUUUGCUUCUGAUAGUUUUACAUUUUACAUUUAGGUCUGUGAUCCAUUUUGAGUUAAUUUAUGUAUAAAGUAGGUUUAGGUAAAAUUUUUUUUUUUUGCACAUGGAUACCCAAUUGUUCCAACACCACUCGUUGAGAAGACUAUCCUUUCUACAUUGAAUUUCUUCUGCACCCUUGUCACAAAUGAACUGAUCAUACUCGCGUGGGUCUAUUUCUGGACUCUAUUCUCUUCCAUUGAUCUACGUGUCUGUCCCUCCACCAAUUCCAUGCUCUUGGUUACUGUAGCUUUAUAGUGAGUAUUAAAAUCGAGUAGUGUGAUGCCUCUAA